GUUGAACGCUGACAGAAUGCUUAACACAUGCAAGUCAACUUCUGGCGGACUGGUGAGUAACGCGUAAAGAACUUGCCUCUCAGUUAGGGACAACCUUUGGAAACGAAUUCUAAUACGUGAUACUGUGAGAGAGCUUUGCGUCCCAUUAGCUCGUUGGAGAGGUAACGGCUCACCAAGGCGAGGAUGGCUAGCCGGACUGGGAGGGUGAUCGGGCACAGGGUGACAGAGACGCCGCCCUUACGCAUACGGGAGGCAGGAGUGGAGAAUAGUGGAAGAUGGACCAAAGUAUGAUGCAGGAAUUCUGUGUGCACGGUGAUGUUUUCGGAAUGUAAAGUGCUUGGAGUAGAGAAGCGGUACCAGCAGAAGAAGUGACGGCUAAAUACGUGCCAGCAGCCGCGGUAAUAC
rnacentral:rRNA from 1 species